AUUAUAUGACAAUGGGGGCAACCCUGAUCCAGCCUUGCCGCGUGUUUGAUACAGGUCUUCGGUUUUUAAUCCAUUUUAAGUUGGGAGGAUGGGCUUUUGCUUAAUACCCUGAAGCCUUGACGUUACGCACAGAAUAUUCACCGGUUAACACUUUUUCAGCUGCCGCGGUAAUUCAGAGGGUGCAAGCGUUAAUCGGAAUUACUGGGUGUAAAACGGGCGGAGGUGGUUCAGUAAAAUGAGUGUGAAAUCCCCGGGCGUAACCUGGGAAGUGCUUUUAUAACUGCUGAGAUAAAGUAAGGUAGAGGGUAGUGGAAUUUCCUGUGUAGCGGUGAAAUGCGUAGAUAAAGGAAGGAAAACCAGUGGCGAAGGCGACUACCUGGACUGAUACUGAAACUGAGGUGCGAAAGCGUGGGGAGCAAAC
rnacentral:rRNA from 1 species